AGCUUUGCGCAGUGGCAGUAUCAUAGCCAAUGAGGUUUAUCUGAGGCGCGAUUAUUGCUAAUUGAAAAAGAAAAAGGUUCUGAUGUAUGCCCAGGGUUGUAUGAGACCCCCACGGCUUCCUGAAGAGUUCUCAUUAGU